UGUCUCUAAGUGCUACACCAAUACCCACUAUUACUCCAUCAUCAAUAUUGAUGGCAUCAAUAUUAAAUUUUACCUUUGUGGUGGGUGGUCUCUUCCAACUUUCAGUGCUUAUAGUUUCAGGAGGUGAUUCUAUGAUUCCAUCAAAAUUAAAGCUUGCCAAAAAGUUAGCAUGCUUGUGCAAAGAAGAUCCUGCGAGAGUGAAUCUAAAUUUUUCAUCAAUUCCUCAAUCCAUUCACAAGCUUGGACUCUAGGUGGCUCUGAUGAUCGUAUGGCUAAGGGGCUAUGAUACCAAAAAAUUCUAACAAACUCGCAAUCUUUAAUGAGAUUCAAUCGAGUUGGCAGUGAGUUGUUCAUCAGCCUCCAUGCACAGUUGAUUGCUCUGAGGUGUACCUUCGCUUUCCAAAGCCUUUUCUAUUUGGAUUCUUUUAGGUCUAAUGAGAUUUCGCUCCUAUAUCUAUUGCUCUGCUCUUUCAUAAUUCUAUGGAACCUAUAUUGACAAUAAAUGCCCCUUUACUGGAACUGUUUCCAUUUGUGGCCGAAUCUUAGCUGGAACUUGUCACAGUGCUAAGAUGAAUAGGACUAUCAUUGUUAGGAGAAAUUAUCCUUUUGUACUUUUAGGUGGCUAGUUUUUUCACAUUAUUUGUUGUUGUUGUUUCGUAUGUGGACACCUGAAGAGAUGUAAGUAAUGAUCUGAUUUUGCUUUGUUUGCUUAUUUAUUUAUUUAUUUAUGAGAAGAGACAUUCGAAUAUUCCUGCACAUAUAUCAUCGUGCACCUGUGUGAAGAAAGGAGAUCAUGUUAUUGUUGGCCAAUGCAGGUAAGGUUUUAGGGUUUAAUGUAUUAACCUGAAGAUCUUGUCUUUGCCUAUUGUAUAGAUGUGUUGAAUGCUGAAAUUUGAGAUUUGAUUCUGUUUUUUGUUGAAAGAUAAUGUUACUUUAUUAG